CAUGCAGAUAAUAACACCAUAUCAUGACCGAUAAGCACAAUGGCUGAACUGAAGGUCUAUCCCACCAUGACAUUUUUUCUUAUGUUUAAUUGCCUAGUUUUGACAAUGAUCAGUCUUAUCUUCCUACACAUGUUGAGCAUCAACAGAAUCAGAAAUGGCCCUCUGUACUGCAAUAUUAUUGUUGUUGUUUUGAUGGGUGGUGCCCAGGAAGCAGCAGUAAGUCAGACUCAUAGUCAAGGAUCAGGGGCAGGCAGCGCAGGUUCAGAAACGGUCCCUGGAGGAGCUGCAUCAGCCACAG